AUUGAACGCUGGCGGCACGCCUUACACAUGCAAGUCGAACGGCAGCACGGGAGCAAUCCUGGUGGCGAGUGGCGAACGGGUGAGUAAAGUAUCGGAACGUGCCCAGUCGUGGGGGAUAACGUAGCGAAAGUUACGCUAAUACCGCAUACGAUCUAUGGAUGAAAGCGGGGGAUCGCGAGACCUCGCGCGAUUGGAGCGGACGAUAUCAGAUUAGGUAGUUGGUGGGGUAAAGGCUCACCAAGCCGACGAUCUGUAGCUGGUCUGAGAGGACGACCAGCCACACUGGGACUGAGACACGGCCCAGACUCCUACGGGAGGCAGCAGUGGGGAAUUUUGGACAAUGGGCGAAAGCCUGAUCCAGCCAUGCCGCGUGCAGGAUGAAGGCCUUCGGGUUGUAAACUGCUUUUGUACGGAACGAAAAGGUUUGGCCUAAUAAGCUGAGCUCAUGACGGUACCGUAAGAAUAAGCACCGGCUAACUACGUGCCAGCCGCCGCGGUAA
rnacentral:rRNA from 1 species